CUGCAUACCAGUAGACCUUAUCUGGUUCUUCUGAUAGCCAGACGAGGGGGAUGGUGCAUGCAACAAAAACCUGGAGUUGCUGCAAGCUGUCAUCAGCCUUGAUGUGACUGACUGAACUGCAAUACUCCAACAUAU
ensembl:snoRNA